UAAGCACAUAAAUUGAGCCUUGGCUUCGUUAUCAACUUCCCUUCCUUGUUGCGGUGAAGCAGGCAGGACGUGUUGGGGCUGGGAGACAAAAACAACACGCUUCUCUAAAGGAUCUAAGAGCCUGCACCAGAGGAAUCUUGAUAAGGAUUGAAGAGCCUGGAAGGGAUGCAUCUUGAUAAGGUUAGUAUAGAAGAAGCUGACCGUGAUUGUACUGUUAGUUUAUCACAACCUGUAGUAAAAGUAAUCUACAGUGCUGCAGAGUUGACCUUUUUCCGACUGUACUUUAAUUUUGUGAUUUUCAUAUCUGACCUUAAUAAAAAUUGGGAUACUUGGGUUUGUCUUAAAGGGUCAUUUGAAAAUAUGUCAAGUCUUUUAUAAUCUCAGCCUGUAAGGACGACAUCCACACUUCCACUGUUAUGUAUGAACUGUGAAAUGUACUGGUAAAUAAAGUGAAAUGUCUAUAAAA